UUAACGUCUGACAGUAAGAAACAAACAUCAAUGACCGCAUUGCCCGAAAAAAACCCUUCAUUCAUUCAAGUUUCAAGAAUAUAUGAAUAAAGUUAGAAGAAAAUCUGACAAUAAACCACAGGUAUAAACAUACCGCUUAUGGGGCUUACAUAAUUUUUAGAAGUUAUAGAUCAACACGACAUAAAUUCAGCAGGUAUCGCAAUCAUAGCAUUUUACUUCACGUUAAAACACAGUUUGGGAUACAAGUGUUUCAUAGUGAAUAGUAAUUUUAUAAAUUUGUGAAAUAUGUCUACUGAAAGGACCGAAACCAGUACAACUAAAAAUAGUUAUGAUACCACCAAAGAUAUGCCAUAAUUUAUUUUUAAAAUAAGGUUUGAACAUUCCUAAAAAUCCUGUUGUAUUUUCCUACGAUAAUUUGCGAAUUUUUGAGAUUAGAAUAAUUAUAUAACUAAUAUAUAAAAAUAUUACGUACAACACGUGGUAUGAAGGACAUGUAAGUGCCUAAAGUAGCUCUGGCAAUGAAAAAUAAUAGAUCUUGAUAUGGAACUAAACCAUCAGCAGAGUGUGGAUGGUAACAUUAUAAUUUCGAGAUGCGACGAAACAUACAAAUUCCUCCUACAUAUUUAACAAAGAUUACUCCAAAAAGUGCACUGUAUUAUCUAUUGACAACGAAAUCAUAAUUUUUAAUAAUCCUGAAAAACACGAGACGAUGCAUCGCUAGUUAAGACUUUCGACGUAGCCAAAGCAAACAAUAAUGGAAGUGAAGAACAAAAGUGAAAUUUUCAGUAUCGUUCCACAGUUGGAAAAUAUUAAUGUCUCCCAUACAACGAAAACUAUGGCAAAA